AUGUUUGUAAUACACAUGUUUGUAGCAAACAGUAGGUUCAGUCAAUGUGCUACUACAAAUUAGACUGCUGUUCAAGAGAGGGCUUAGGGAGGGGUAUCUGUCUAGCUGGUUUUCUUUCUUUCUUUUUUUUUUUUUUUUUGAUGGAGAUUUAUUUCUUCCAGGUUUAAGAUGGAAAUGGAAACCUGUACCAUUAUUCAUUUUGCAUCACAGAAAGUAAGCUUCAUCACCAAUGGAAGUUCUAAUUUCUUUGUGGAAAUACAUUCCUUGCUGAUUAAUUCCAUCUUCCCUUCAUUGUCAAACUGCAGAAGAUUUGCUUCAAAACCCAAAGAUCAGAAUAAGAAUGUGUGCUUCUCCUGGACCAGCAUUGGCGUGUUCGAAGGGAGCUGUCCUAGGGUUGUCGUAAAAGAGACCCAGCCGAGAACACCCACAGAGAGAUGGGCACCUGGAAGUCCAGCUGCUGAGAGAGAAGGCAUUGCUCCUUGGAAGGGCACACAGUUGGGGACUCCGUGAGAGCUCUCUUAGGAACCCAAGAAUGCACCACAUGUGAGAGAAAGAGCCAGAAAUUUCUCCUCUACUCUGCUGAGACGGUCCAAAGCCAGAUAACAACCGGUCCCUCCAGUAACUGCCCUACCAGAGAGUUAUGAGUAUCUCCUUGAUGAUAUGAAAAUCGAAGGAGGCUAAGCUAUUGUUACUUUCCCAAGAUCACAAAGCUGGUAAGUGACCGGAAACAGUUCAUCCCAGGUUGGCCUGACCAGGACUUAGCUGCCCAUUCUGUCAUGGGGGCUCUAAAUCUGAGACACUGCAUGCUCCGGCCAUCACCUUCCUCAGUGUCCUCAUGUUGGGCCACACUACCUUUUACUCCUCACUUUCUUUUUUUUUUCUUUUUUUAACAUC